rnacentral:rRNA from 1 species
CCUACGGGCGGCAGCAGUGGGGAAUAUUGGGCAAUGGGCGCAAGCCUGACCCAGCAACGCCGCGUGAAGGAAGAAGGCUUUCGGGUUGUAAACUUCUUUUAAGAGGGAAGAGAAGAAGACGGUACCUCUUGAAUAAGCCACGGCUAACUACGUGCCAGCAGCCGCGGUAAUACGUAGGUGGCAAGCGUUGUCCGGAUUUACUGGGGGUAAAGGGCGUGCAGCCGGGCUGACAAGUCAGAUGUGAAAUCCCGCGGCUCAACCGCGGAACUGCAUUUGAAACUGGCAGUCUUGAGUACCGGAGAGGUCAUCGGAAUUCCUUGGGGAGUGGUGAAAUGCGGAGAUAUAAGGAAGAACACCAGUGGCGAAGGCGGAUGACUGGACGGCAACUGACGGUGAGGCGCGAAAGCGUGGGGAGCAAACAGGAUUAGAUACCCGAGUAGUC